rnacentral:rRNA from 1 species
GAUGAACGCUAGCUACAGGCUUAACACAUGCAAGUCGAGGGGCAGCAGGAUCUAGCAAUAGAUUGCUGGCGACCGGCGCACGGGUGAGUAACACGUAUCCAACCUGCCGAUAACUCGGGGAUAGCCUUUCGAAAGAAAGAUUAAUACCCGAUGGUAUAAUCAGACCGCAUGGUUUGAUUAUUAAAGAAUUUCGGUUAUCGAUGGGGAUGCGUUCCAUUAGGCAGUUGGUGAGGUAACGGCUCACCAAACCUUCGAUGGAUAGGGGUUCUGAGAGGAAGGUCCCCCACAUUGGAACUGAGACACGGUCCAAACUCCUACGGGAGGCAGCAGUGAGGAAUAUUGGUCAAUGGACGCGAGUCUGAACCAGCCAAGUAGCGUGAAGGAUGACUGCCCUAUGGGUUGUAAACUUCUUUUAUAUGGGAAUAAAGUUUUCCACGUGUGGAAUUUUGUAUGUACCAUAUGAAUAAGGAUCGGCUAACUCCGUGCCAGCAGCCGCGGUAAUACGGAGGAUCCGAGCGUUAUCCGGAUUUAUUGGGUUUAAAGGGAGCGUAGGUGGACAGUUAAGUCAGUUGUGAAAGUUUGCGGCUCAACCGUAAAAUUGCAGUUGAUACUGGCUGUCUUGAGUACAGUAGAGGUGGGCGGAAUUCGUGGUGUAGCGGUGAAAUGCUUAGAUAUGACGAAGAACUCCGAUUGCGAAGGCAGCUCACUGGACUGCAACUGACACUGAUGCUCGAAAGUGUGGGUAUCAAACAGGAUUAGAUACCCUGGUAGUCCACACAGUAAACGAUGAAUACUCGCUGUUUGCGAUAUACAGUAAGCGGCCAAGCGAAAGCAUUAAGUAUUCCACCUGGGGAGUACGCCGGCAACGGUGAAACUCAAAGGAAUUGACGGGGGCCCGCACAAGCGGAGGAACAUGUGGUUUAAUUCGAUGAUACGCGAGGAACCUUACCCGGGCUUAAAUUGCAUUUGAAUAAUCUGGAAACAGGUUAGCCGCAAGGCAAAUGUGAAGGUGCUGCAUGGUUGUCGUCAGCUCGUGCCGUGAGGUGUCGGCUUAAGUGCCAUAACGAGCGCAACCCUUAUCUUUAGUUACUAACAGGUCAUGCUGAGGACUCUAGAGAGACUGCCGUCGUAAGAUGUGAGGAAGGUGGGGAUGACGUCAAAUCAGCACGGCCCUUACGUCCGGGGCUACACACGUGUUACAAUGGGGGGUACAGAAGGCAGCUACCUGGUGACAGGAUGCUAAUCCCAAAAGCCUCUCUCAGUUCGGAUCGAAGUCUGCAACCCGACUUCGUGAAGCUGGAUUCGCUAGUAAUCGCGCAUCAGCCAUGGCGCGGUGAAUACGUUCCCGGGCCU